GCUGGCAGGUAGUUCUCUCUAACUCACAUGAUCGCCCACUAACGCUAAGCAGGGCUGCGCCUGCUCAGUACCUGGAUGGGAAACCACAUGGGAAAACUAGGUUGCUGCCGGAA
rnacentral:rRNA from 1 species